GGUUAAGCGACUAAGCGUACACGGUGGAUGCCCUGGCAGUCAGAGGCGAUGAAGGACGUGCUAAUCUGCGAUAAGCGUCGGUAAGGUGAUAUGAACCGUUAUAACCGGCGAUUUCCGAAUGGGGAAACCCAGUGUGUUUCGACACACUAUCAUUAACUGAAUCCAUAGGUUAAUGAGGCGAACCGGGGGAACUGAAACAUCUAAGUACCCCGAGGAAAAGAAAUCAACCGAGAUUCCCCCAGUAGCGGCGAGCGAACGGGGAGCAGCCCAGAGCCUGAAUCAGUAUGUGUGUUAGUGGAAGCGUCUGGAAAGGCGCGCGAUACAGGGUGACAGCCCCGUACACAAAAAUGCACAUGCUGUGAGCUCGAUGAGUAGGGCGGGACACGUGGUAUCCUGUCUGAAUAUGGGGGGACCAUCCUCCAAGGCUAAAUACUCCUGACUGACCGAUAGUGAACCAGUACCGUGAGGGAAAGGCGAAAAGAACCCCGGCGAGGGGAGUGAAAAAGAACCUGAAACCGUGUACGUACAAGCAGUGGGAGCACGCUUAGGCGUGUGACUGCGUACCUUUUGUAUAAUGGGUCAGCGACUUAUAUUCUGUAGCAAGGUUAACCGAAUAGGGGAGCCGAAGGGAAACCGAGUCUUAACUGGGCGUUAAGUUGCAGGGUAUAGACCCGAAACCCGGUGAUCUAGCCAUGGGCAGGUUGAAGGUUGGGUAACACUAACUGGAGGACCGAACCGACUAAUGUUGAAAAAUUAGCGGAUGACUUGUGGCUGGGGGUGAAAGGCCAAUCAAACCGGGAGAUAGCUGGUUCUCCCCGAAAGCUAUUUAGGUAGCGCCUCGUGAAUUCAUCUCCGGGGGUAGAGCACUGUUUCGGCAAGGGGGUCAUCCCGACUUACCAACCCGAUGCAAACUGCGAAUACCGGAGAAUGUUAUCACGGGAGACACACGGCGGGUGCUAACGUCCGUCGUGAAGAGGGAAACAACCCAGACCGCCAGCUAAGGUCCCAAAGUCAUGGUUAAGUGGGAAACGAUGUGGGAAGGCCCAGACAGCCAGGAUGUUGGCUUAGAAGCAGCCAUCAUUUAAAGAAAGCGUAAUAGCUCACUGGUCGAGUCGGCCUGCGCGGAAGAUGUAACGGGGCUAAACCAUGCACCGAAGCUGCGGCAGCGACACUAUGUGUUGUUGGGUAGGGGAGCGUUCUGUAAGCCUGUGAAGGUGUACUGUGAGGUAUGCUGGAGGUAUCAGAAGUGCGAAUGCUGACAUAAGUAACGAUAAAGCGGGUGAAAAGCCCGCUCGCCGGAAGACCAAGGGUUCCUGUCCAACGUUAAUCGGGGCAGGGUGAGUCGACCCCUAAGGCGAGGCCGAAAGGCGUAGUCGAUGGGAAACAGGUUAAUAUUCCUGUACUUGGUGUUACUGCGAAGGGGGGACGGAGAAGGCUAUGUUGGCCGGGCGACGGUUGUCCCGGUUUAAGCGUGUAGGCUGGUUUUCCAGGCAAAUCCGGAAAAUCAAGGCUGAGGCGUGAUGACGAGGCACUACGGUGCUGAAGCAACAAAUGCCCUGCUUCCAGGAAAAGCCUCUAAGCAUCAGGUAACAUCAAAUCGUACCCCAAACCGACACAGGUGGUCAGGUAGAGAAUACCAAGGCGCUUGAGAGAACUCGGGUGAAGGAACUAGGCAAAAUGGUGCCGUAACUUCGGGAGAAGGCACGCUGAUAUGUAGGUGAAGUCCCUCGCGGAUGGAGCUGAAAUCAGUCGAAGAUACCAGCUGGCUGCAACUGUUUAUUAAAAACACAGCACUGUGCAAACACGAAAGUGGACGUAUACGGUGUGACGCCUGCCCGGUGCCGGAAGGUUAAUUGAUGGGGUCAGCGCAAGCGAAGCUCUUGAUCGAAGCCCCGGUAAACGGCGGCCGUAACUAUAACGGUCCUAAGGUAGCGAAAUUCCUUGUCGGGUAAGUUCCGACCUGCACGAAUGGCGUAAUGAUGGCCAGGCUGUCUCCACCCGAGACUCAGUGAAAUUGAACUCGCUGUGAAGAUGCAGUGUACCCGCGGCAAGACGGAAAGACCCCGUGAACCUUUACUAUAGCUUGACACUGAACAUUGAGCCUUGAUGUGUAGGAUAGGUGGGAGGCUUUGAAGUGUGGACGCCAGUCUGCAUGGAGCCGACCUUGAAAUACCACCCUUUAAUGUUUGAUGUUCUAACGUUGACCCGUAAUCCGGGUUGCGGACAGUGUCUGGUGGGUAGUUUGACUGGGGCGGUCUCCUCCUAAAGAGUAACGGAGGAGCACGAAGGUUGGCUAAUCCUGGUCGGACAUCAGGAGGUUAGUGCAAUGGCAUAAGCCAGCUUGACUGCGAGCGUGACGGCGCGAGCAGGUGCGAAAGCAGGUCAUAGUGAUCCGGUGGUUCUGAAUGGAAGGGCCAUCGCUCAACGGAUAAAAGGUACUCCGGGGAUAACAGGCUGAUACCGCCCAAGAGUUCAUAUCGACGGCGGUGUUUGGCACCUCGAUGUCGGCUCAUCACAUCCUGGGGCUGAAGUAGGUCCCAAGGGUAUGGCUGUUCGCCAUUUAAAGUGGUACGCGAGCUGGGUUUAGAACGUCGUGAGACAGUUCGGUCCCUAUCUGCCGUGGGCGCUGGAGAACUGAGGGGGGCUGCUCCUAGUACGAGAGGACCGGAGUGGACGCAUCACUGGUGUUCGGGUUGUCAUGCCAAUGGCACUGCCCGGUAGCUAAAUGCGGAAGAGAUAAGUGCUGAAAGCAUCUAAGCACGAAACUUGCCCCGAGAUGAGUUCUCCCUGACUCCUUGAGAGUCCUGAAGGAACGUUGAAGACGACGACGUUGAUAGGCCGGGUGUGUAAGCGCAGCGAUGCGUUGAGCUAACCGGUACUAAUGAACCGUGAGGCUUAACCUU
rnacentral:rRNA from 1 species